UCUUACAGCAUCAGGAUAGUUAUGAAAGUAUAUAAAGCCCAUCCCAACCUGCAGAUUUCCAUGUAUCACCGUUGGAAGCAUUCCCCACGAGUGACUAGUUUCUUACAAAUAUGUGGCAUUGUGGCUUCUUGGUCUCUGCUGGCUUUCUUGCUUGGAGGCUCUUAUAGUUGUCGUGGGCAACAGCUCAUCCACUAGAAAUGCUUGGUUUCUUUUCCCCUCAAUGUAAGCUGCACAAUUAUAGAUUAAAACACAUUGCAAUGAU